UCAUAUGCUUGUCUCAAAGAUUAAGCCAUGCAUGUCUCAGUGCAAGCCGUCUAGUACGGUGAAACCGCGAAAGGCUCAUUAAAUCAGUUAUGGUUCCUUAGAUUGUACCCACGUUACUUGGAUAACUGUGGUAAUUCUAGAGCUAAUACAUGCCGACAGAGUUCCAACCAAUUGCACGACCUCGGUCGUCGCAUUUAGGAAGGAACGCUUUUAUUAGAUCAAAACCGGCUAAGCGACGGUUACCUCGUGUUUCCGUCGUUAGUGGCCUGCGCAAAGAUUUGGUGACUCUGAAUAACUUCGAGCUGAUCGCACGGUCUCGUACCGGCGACGUAUCUUUCAAAUGUCUGCCUUAUCAACUGUCGACGGUAGGUUCGACGCCUACCGUGGUGGUAACGGGUAACGGGGAAUCAGGGUUCGAUUCCGGAGAGGGAGCCUGAGAAACGGCUACCACAUCCAAGGAAGGCAGCAGGCGCGCAAAUUACCCACUCCCAGCUCGGGGAGGUAGUGACGAAAAAUAACGAUACGGGACUCAUUCGAGGCCCCGUAAUCGGAAUGAGUACACUUUAAAACCUUGGUCACACGAGGAUCAAUUGGAGGGCAAG
rnacentral:rRNA from 1 species